rnacentral:rRNA from 1 species
GACGAACGCUGGCGGCGUGCUUAACACAUGCAAGUCGAACGCUGAAGCUUGGCGCUUGCACUGGGUGGAUGAGUGGCGAACGGGUGAGUAAUACGUGAGUAACCUGCCCUUGACUCUGGGAUAAGCCUGGGAAACUGGGUCUAAUACUGGAUACGACAUGUCACCGCAUGGUGGUGUGUGGAAAGGGUUUUACUGGUUUUGGAUGGGCUCACGGCCUAUCAGCUUGUUGGUGGGGUAAUGGCUCACCAAGGCGACGACGGGUAGCCGGCCUGAGAGGGUGACCGGCCACACUGGGACUGAGACACGGCCCAGACUCCUACGGGAGGCAGCAGUGGGGAAUAUUGCACAAUGGGCGGAAGCCUGAUGCAGCGACGCCGCGUGAGGGAUGACGGCCUUCGGGUUGUAAACCUCUUUCAGCACGGAAGAAGCGAAAGUGACGGUACGUGCAGAAGAAGCGCCGGCUAACUACGUG